UACGUAGGGGGCUAGCAUUGUCCGGAAUCAUUGGGCGUAAAGCGCGUGUAGGCGGUCCGGUAAGUCCGCUGUGAAAGUCGGGGGCUCAACCCUCGAAUGCCGGUGGAUACUGCCGGGCUAGAGUGCGGAAGAGGCGAGUGGAAUUCCUGGUGUAGCGGUGAAAUGCGCAGAUAUCAGGAGGAACACCAAUUGCGAAGGCAGCUCGCUGGGACGUUACUGACGCUGAGACGCGAAAGCGUGGGGAGCAAACAGG
rnacentral:rRNA from 1 species